CUAGUACAGUUUCUCCCUGCUUCAUAUUUAAUUUGAACUUCCGUCUUUAAGCAGAUGAGGUAGAUACUUCCGUUUUUAUUGAAAAUGGUGUGUAAAAAUUUAUUGACGUUUUGAAACAUUUGAGUUGAAAUAUUGUUUUGUACAUGUAUUAUGAAAUUAUGUUUCUUUAAAAUUAUUUUGAAUAACUAGUGGUUUAUUCCAAUGGCACUAAAGAAGAAGCCACCGCUCCUGGGCUGUAUGAUUAGUCCUAUCACGCAGCCGAUCACUGUACCUAGCACUCGGCUUGAACCCACAAUGUAGCUAGCAGUUGCCACCCAGCAUAAUCCACUACACUCACGGAGAUAGGUAAUUCUAUUUAUUUAGUUCUAAAUUCUAUUUUUUAUUUAUUAACAUCAUAUUCUUUUACACAUGUAGUGCCACCACUCAAACAUAGGCAUCGCGGUCAUACUCAUGGCAUAGGCACAUCCUAGAUAGUCAAGGCCACUUGUAGAAAGCUAGAAAUGAUUUAUGAAGACACUAUGGGCGACCUAAUGGUCCUAAUGCUAGUCGAUUUGUAUUUGAAAUAGGAGCUGGUGUCCAAAUAUUUGCACCUCUCCAAAAGGUCUUUUGGAAAGAUGUGACUGAAUUUGAAAAGCCCCCUAUUUAUGACAAAGUGGAGGUAACGUUAAAACAAAACUUCUUAAACUACAUUCAUAUGUUUAGGUUGCUUAUAAACUGAACUUCUUGAACUAUAUGAAAUCAAACCAAUUUGAAAUUAUUUCAUUUAAUUUAUAAGUUGCAUAUUGAAUAUGAUGGCAUAAGGUCGUUAUUUUGGUAACCUUUUUCUGUGCAUUUUAAAAUUUUGUCAACUAAACAGAAUAUAAAAAAAGUAACUUUUUUAAUGUGUACCAUUGAGAAAUGAUGUGUAGCAAGUCCAGUGUUGUUGAGAUUAUUCUGUAAUCUGGUUCUUAGUUUUGCAUGUUAACAGUCAGUCCACAAACAUAAACAACCAGUCCACAGAACACAUAAAAAAGAACAAGAAAAUUGUCCAGAUAUGUAUGUUACGUAAUAACUGUCAACUGAUGUCGUGACUUCACAAUAAAAUAGGCAUAUAAUACGCUGUUUCCAUGAUUUUUAUGUCAUACAUAAGUUUAUAAAUUAGUAAUUCCUUUGUGAUUCCUAAUUGGUUCUCCCGGUUUUUCUGUUUCAACUUUACUCACUUUAUUGUUUUUAACCAUGUAGAGCCUGAACGAAAUAUAAUAUUCUUCUUAUAUACCCUUGUUUUAACUCUGAAUCCUGUAAUGCAACAAUAAAUUUUCCAUGCAUGUCAGUUCUCUGCACUGCAAUUCUUUGAUCCUGAACAAUCCAAAUGCUUCUCGGCCUUUGCUUAAAUUAGGCACAUUACUAUUCUUUUUGCAUAGAACCCAUUUGAACCUGCCUCAAUGAUGAGUCGACUCUCUUUUUAUGUAUUAUUUCAAACACUUAUCAUAUCUCUUUUCACACUAUAUGUUGCUGUAUAUAGAUUAUUUUUGUCUUAUAUUAUGAUAAAUGUGCAACUCUUAAAGAGUUCAUGGAGAAAUCAACGGCCACUUCCUUUAAGGUGUUUCGGUAUGAGUUGCACACAGUGGUGGAUCCAGCAUUCGGUGAGCACCGGCGACCGUGCUUUCUAAUCCGUUGGGAACAAAAUUUUUUGUUAAAUAUAGAUAAAAUUUUUUGGUUAUAUAUCAAGUAAUUCAUUUUAUUAGAAGUCAUUGGAUCGUGUCUCUUCCAAAAAAAAUUAUUUGCAAGUUUUCUAGUUCUACAAUUUUUAACAAAAUUAAUGCGAUCGGGAGGGGAUUCAAACCUUUGAACCCUCUUUAAAAUUAUUGAAAGCUUGACCAUUAUGGCACUCAUUGAAUUUUAAUACUAAAUGUAACAAAAUAAUAUAUGUUUCAAGUUUAGUGGUUUUAAUGCCAUUAGAAAGAUUCGAACCAGUGCUCUUCAUUUGAAUUAUACAAAAUUUGGCCACUAUAUCAAGUGGUGAAUAUUAUUAAUAUAUAUGACAUAAUUAAUAUAUAUUCAAUUUUAGCAAAAUAACUGUUAUAUUUAAUUUUUAAUAUUUUAUUGCGGCCAACGAUCAACGGUCAACGGCCACCCGUGCUCACUCAAAAUCUUGCAUCCGCCACUGGCUGUACAUGCAUUAAAAUGAGUAUUUAGACCAACCAAUGGCUCACGGGAAAGCAAAUAAGCCUAAAGAAGUUCGUGACCAGGCUGAUUGGGAUUGUUUGUGUGACUAUUAGGAAAGUGAAUAGUUUUAGGUGCAUUUAUGUACAUUUUCACUUGCAUUUAUGUUCUUUUGUUACCUUAUUUAGGCUAUUGACUAUUUUCAAUUUUAUUUAACUGUACAUCACAGGAAAGAUCCAAGGUUGCAGUUGAAAAUAGAUCGCAAUGAGAGUUUACCUAUUUUUUUGGUUCUAGAUUCUUUAUUCGAUAUCAAGCUAUAGAGGUAUAUAAGAAGUUAAAAAUAUCCAUUUAUGUUGGGAAAUAAUUUCAAUUCAAUUAAAUCUUAUUCUUCUUAUAAUAGGAUAAUAGAAUUGGACGACCAAACAUAAUUCAAUUAUGGAAAAACACACAUUAUGAGGAUAUUAAAUGCUAGAUCCAUCCGUGUGGUUGAGAAAUAUGUAAUGAACAAAUAUUUAUGUAUUUACUUUAACUUUAUUAUUACUAGAAUAAAUAUUUUACCGUCAUAUUUGUAUUAAUAAUUUUCUAUUGUCAUGCAGAAGGAGAUAAUAGACAUACAAAUCACAUAAGAGGCACAUGUUGAGGAAGGAGAGUGAGAGUCAAGGAGUAUAGCUCACUGCUGAUGAAAUCGCGACUCAAGUCCUUGGCACUAUUUCUUGCUACUUUAGGGGAUUGGGUAGGGGCCCAAAGAUUCCACGUGCUACAUCUCGCAUGAACACAACACAACAAGAGAAUGCUAAACUUCGCCAAGUCAUGCAUAACUUGUAGAGCUGGAAUGAGCGUAUCCUUGCCUUUUGAGAGGAGAUAAUGACAGGUGUUACUGCAAGAAUCCUUGGCACUAUUUCUUGCUACUAUAGGGGAUUGGGUAGGGGCCCAAAGAUUCCACGUGCUACAUCUAGCACGAACACAACACAACAAGAGAAUGCUAAACUUCGCCAAGCCAUGCAUAACUUGUAGAGCUGGAAUGAGCGUAUUCUCGCCUUUUGAGAGGAGAUAAUGCCAGAUGUUAUUGCUAGAAUCCUUGGCACUAUUUCUUGCUACUAUAGGGGAUUGGGUAGGGGCCCAAAGAUUCCACGUGCUACAUCUCGCACGAACACAAUAAGAGAAUGCUAAACUUCGCCAAGUCAUGCAUAACUUGUAGAGCUGGAAUGAGCGUAGUCUCGCCUUUUGAGAGGAGAUAAUGCCAGGUGUUACUGCAAGAAUAUCAGCCCAAGAGUGCCCACUACUCAUCCAUCAACAUCACUUGAUCAUGAGUCACAUGAUGAUCAUUAAUUUAAAGUUCUUCAUCGCAUUUACAUGUUUUUAAAUCUUCAUGGUUGAUACUCUAUUAUUGCAUAUGCUACUAUUUUUUACUACACUGGUCUUCUCAUUUUUGGAUCUUGACUAGGUCUUUUAUUGCCUAUGCUAUUAUUUUGGACUACACCUGCAAAUAUAGUUACUCAUAUUUUGGAAUUAGAAGUGAAUUAUAAAGGUACAAUAUAUUAUUUUACCUUGUACAGAUGGUUUGUUGGCUUUUGAAUUAUGACUAUUGUGUUGUGAUUUAUGAUAUAUUUUGAUUUUGAUUUUUGUUGGUGCAUUGUGUUGUAGAUAGGCUUUCAAUUUUUUGAAAUUUUG
rnacentral:lncRNA from 1 species